rnacentral:rRNA from 1 species
AUUGAACGCUGGCGGCAUGCCUUACACAUGCAAGUCGAACGGUAACAGGUCUUCGGAUGCUGACGAGUGGCGAACGGGUGAGUAAUACAUCGGAACGUGCCUAGUAGUGGGGGAUAACUACUCGAAAGAGUGGCUAAUACCGCAUGAGAUCUACGGAUGAAAGCAGGGGAUCGCAAGACCUUGUGCUACUAGAGCGGCCGAUGGCAGAUUAGGUAGUUGGUGGGAUAAAAGCUUACCAAGCCGACGAUCUGUAGCUGGUCUGAGAGGACGAUCAGCCACACUGGGACUGAGACACGGCCCAGACUCCUACGGGAGGCAGCAGUGGGGAAUUUUGGACAAUGGGCGAAAGCCUGAUCCAGCAAUGCCGCGUGCGGGAUGAAGGCCUUCGGGUUGUAAACUGCUUUUGUACGGAACGAAAAGCCCCGGGUUAAUACCCUGGGGUCAUGACGGUACCGUAAGAAUAAGCACCGGCUAGCUACGUGCCAGCCGCCGCUGUAA